CAUACAUAAAGAUGAGUAGAAUCCUUUUGAAAACCUCAGCUUCUUUCUCCUCGCUGUGGCUCACGGAGCAGCGGAGGUCCGGAGCAAGCGAGGCUCGUACUGAGACCAACAACACAAGUUGUCGAUCGUCGCCAGGAGCAAGCAGGCGGUGGAUCGAGAGAGGCAGGCAGGCAGCAGCAGCGAAUCGGAUCGGAGAGGACGUUCGAUCGCCAUGGCAGCACACACAGUGGCCAUGGGAUGCCUCCCUAGAUGAUGGCCGUGGGUGAUGGAUAUCUGUUGAUGGGGAGGCCUAGAGAAUCUGCAGCACUUUGUCAGCUUGAUUCGAUAUGUGGCGCCGGAGUCGUCCUACUCGCGGGAUUCGGGCAAGGGUCGACCCACAUCGUUAGGCCUGAUCUACAUUGUUGGUGUUGUUGUAAUCUUUUAUUUGUUUUUGUGUAUUCUACCAAUAUAUCGCAUUGUGUAUGUUGAUUAGAUAGUUGUUGUAAUACUAAAUCUUGUUCAAACAUUUCUCGGAUGUUCAUACAUCUUUUACUCAAGCAGUCUGGGACUAAGAACAAUCAAUUUACUCAUUUACUCAA